rnacentral:rRNA from 1 species
AGCAGCCGCGGUAAUUCCAGCUCCAAUAGCGUAUAUUAAAGUUGUUGCAGUUAAAAGCUCGUAGUUGAAUUUCGGGAUCAAUUUAUUGGUCGUGCUAUCGUACGUACUGGUAUUAUUGAUUCCUACCUUCUGACGAACCAUGAUGUCAUUAAUUUGGUGUCAUGGGGAAUCAGGACUGUUACUUUGAAAAAUUAGAGUGUUUAAAGCAGGCUCACGCUUGAAUACAUUAGCAUAGAAUAACGAAAUAGGACGUUUGAUUCUAUUUGUUGGUUUCUAGGAUCGACGUAAUGAUUAAUAGGGAUAGUUGGGGCAUUAGUAUUCAAUUGUCAGAGGUGAAAUUCUUGGAUUUAUUGAAGACUAACUACUGCGAAGCAUUUGCCAAGGAUGUUUCAUUAAUACAAGAACGAAAGUUAGGGAU